rnacentral:rRNA from 1 species
GAUCGGUAGGUGGUCUGAGAGGACGAUCACCCAGACUGGGACUGAGACACGGCCCAGACUCCUACGGGAGGCAGCAGUCGGGAAUUUUGCGCAAUGGACGAAAGUCUGACGCAGCAACGCCGCGUGAGGGAUGAAGGCCUUCGGGUUGUAAACCUCUUUUAUCAGGGAAGAUAAUGACGGUACCUGAUGAAUAAGUCACGGCUAACUACGUGCCAGCAGCCGCGGUAAUACGUAGGUGACAAGCGUUGUCCGGAUUUACUGGGCGUAAAGAGCGCGCAGGCGGUCGAUCAAGUCGAGUGUGAAAGCCCCCGGCUCAACUGGGGAGGGUCAUUCGAUACUGAUCGACUCGAAGGCAGGAGAGGGUAGUGGAAUUCCCGGUGUAGUGGUGAAAUGCGUAGAUAUCGGGAGGAACACCAGUGGCGAAGGCGACCACCUGGCCUGUUCUUGACGCUGAGGCGCGAAAGCUAGGGGAGCAAACGGGAUUAGAUACCCCGGUAGUCCUAGCCGUAAACGAUGGACACUAGGUGUUGGUGGUAUCAACCCCGCCAGUGCCGAAGCUAACGCAUUAAGUGUCCCGCCUGGGGAGUACGGCCGCAAGGCUAAA